rnacentral:rRNA from 1 species
GAUCCUGGCUCAGAAUCAACGCUGGCGGCGUGCCUAACACAUGCAAGUCGAACGAGAAAGUGGUAGCAAUACCAUGAGUAAAGUGGCGCACGGGUGAGUAACACGUGACUAACCUACCCUGGAGUGGGGGAUAACUGAGGGAAACCUUAGCUAAUACCGCAUAAUACCUACGGGUCAAAGGAGCAAUUCGCUUCAGGAGGGGGUCGCGGCCGAUUAGUUAGUUGGCGGGGUAAUGGCCCACCAAGACAGUGAUCGGUAUCCGGCCUGAGAGGGCGCACGGACACACUGGAACUGAAACACGGUCCAGACUCCUACGGGAGGCAGCAG